UCUGUACGGGAAGGAUGAGAAGCUUCGACUAAGGUUCGAUUCGAGCGCAGCGAGAAAGCGUUGCCGUAGGCAACGACCCGAAGGGCGAAGCGCGCAGCGCUGAGUAAUCCUUCCCCCGUCAUCC
rnacentral:sRNA from 1 species